AACGAACGCUGGCGGCAGGCCUAACACAUGCAAGUCGAACGCCUCAGCAAUGGGGAGUGGCAGACGGGUGAGUAACACGUGGGAACAUGCCCUUUGGUUUGGGAUAACUCAGGGAAACUUGAGCUAAUACCGGAUAAGCCCGAGAGGGGAAAGAUUUAUCGCCGAAGGAUUGGCCCGCGUCCGAUUAGCUAGUUGGUGAGGUAACGGCUCACCAAGGCGACGAUCGGUAGCUGGUCUGAGAGGAUGAUCAGCCACACUGGGACUGAGACACGGCCCAGACUCCUACGGGAGGCAGCAGUGGGGAAUAUUGGACAAUGGGCGCAAGCCUGAUCCAGCCAUGCCGCGUGAGUGAUGAAGGCCUUCGGUCGGUAAACCUCUUUCUGGGAAGAGCAAGGACGGUACCUCAGGAAUAAGUCUCGGCUAACUACGUG
rnacentral:rRNA from 1 species